rnacentral:tRNA from 1 species
GGGUUCGAGUCCCUGAUGGCAGGAGCUGGUCUUGAAAACCAGUGACUUCGAAAGGGGCCGUGGGUUCGAAUCCCACCCUCUCCGCCA